GAUGUUGGCUCAGAAGCAGCCAUACAUUCAAAGAGUGCGUAAUAGCUCACUAGUCGAGAGGUCCUGCGCCGAAAAUGAACCGGGGCUAAACACGACACCGAAGCUCAGGAAUCCGAAAGGAUUGGUAGAGGAGCAUUGCUGAAGCGACGAAGCAGUACCGGAAGGAGCUGUGGAGUUUCAGGAAGAGAGAAUGCCGGAAUGAGUAGCGAGAGAAAGGUGAGAAUCCUUUCGGCCGAAUAUCCAAGGUUUCCAGGGUAAAGCUGAUCUGCCCUGGGUAAGUCGGGGCCUAAGGCGAGGCAGAAAUGCGUAGUCGAUGGACAGCAGGUUGAGAUUCCUGCACCCGUAAUGAACAGAACUGUAGUGACACGGAAGGUAAGACAGAGCCGGGAAUGAGAAAACCGGUGCAAGCACAAUAGAUGUGUGGGAGGAAAAACCCCCGCAUAAGUCGAAGGUGUGACGCGGACCGAAAAAGAGUAGGGAAGCUGUUAAGCAAGCCGUCAAGAAAAGCUGCUAUUGUUUCAUUAUGGCCCGUACCGUAAACCGACACAGGUGGAUGGGGAGAGAAUCCUAAGGCCGGCGGAAGAAGUAUUGUUAAGGAACUCGGCAAAAUGACCCCGUAACUUCGGGAGAAGGGGUGCCUGCGAGAGCAGGCCGCAGAGAAGAGGCCCAAGCAACUGUUUAGCAAAAACACAGGUCUAUGCAAAACCGAAAGGUGAGGUAUAUGGGCUGACGCCUGCCCGGUGCUGGAAGGUUAAGAGGAGAGGUUAGCGCAAGCGAAGCUUUGAAUUUAAGCCCCAGUAAACGGCGGCCGUAACUAUAACGGUCCUAAGGUAGCGAAAUUCCUUGUCGGGUAAGUUCCGACCCGCACGAAAGGCGUAAUGAUUUGGGCGCUGUCUCGACAAUACAUCCGGUGAAAUUGAAGUGCCAGUGAAGAUGCUGGCUACCUGCGCCAGGACGGAAAGACCCCAUGGAGCUUUACUCCAGCUUGAUACUGGGACCCGGUAUUGCAUGUACAGGAUAGGUGGGAGGCUAGGAAAUGUGGACGCCAGUCUGCAUGGAGCCGCCGUUGGGAUACCACCCUUGUGGUGCUGGGUUUCUAACCAGAGGCCGUGAACCGGUCUGGGGACAAUGUCAGGUGGGGAGUUUGACUGGGGCGGUCGCCUCCGAAAGGGUAUCGGAGGCGCCCAAAGGUUCCCUCAGAAUGGUUGGAAACCAUUCGAAGAGUGCAAAGGCAGAAGGGAGCUUGACUGCGACACCGACGGGUGGAGCAGGUACGAAAGUAGGGCUUAGUGAUCCGGUGGUAUUAAGUGGGAAUGCCAUCGCUCAACGGAUAAAAGCUACCCUGGGGAUAACAGGCUUAUCACUCCCAAGAGUUCACAUCGACGGAGUGGUUUGGCACCUCGAUGUCGGCUCAUCGCAUCCUGGGGCUGUAGUAGGUCCCAAGGGUUGGGCUGUUCGCCCAUUAAAGCGGUACGCGAGCUGGGUUCAGAACGUCGUGAGACAGUUCGGUCCCUAUCCGGCGUGGGCGUAGGAUAUCUGAGAGGAGCUGUCCUUAGUACGAGAGGACCGGGAUGGACUGACCUCUGGUGUACCGGUUGGCGAUCAACGCCACGGCCGGGUAGCCAUGUCGGGACGGGAUAAACGCUGAAGGCAUCUAAGCGUGAAGCCCCCCUCAAGAUGAGAUAUCCCAUCGUAAGAGUAAGACCCCUUGAAGACGACGAGGUUGAUAGGGCAGGGGUGGAAGUGCCGUAAGGCAUGGAGCUGACUGCUACUAAUCGGUCGAGGGCUUGACCAA
rnacentral:rRNA from 1 species